AUACCAGCUGGCUGCAACUGUUUAAUAAAAACACAGCACUGUGCAAACACGAAAGUGGACGUAUACGGUGUGACGCCUGCCCGGUGCUGGAAGGUUAAUUGAUGGGGUCAGCCGCAAGGCGAAGCUCUUGAUCGAAGCCCCAGUAAACGGCGGCCGUAACUAUAACGGUCCUAAGGUAGCGAAAUUCCUUGUCGGGUAAGUUCCGACCUGCACGAAUGGCGUAAUGAUGGCCAGGCUGUCUCCACCCGAGACUCAGUGAAAUUGAACUCGCUGUGAAGAUGCAGUGUACCCGCGGCAAGACGGAAAGACCCCGUGAACCUUUACUAUAGCUUGACACUGAACAUUGAGCCUUGAUGUGUAGGAUAGGUGGGAGGCAUUGAAGUGUGGACGCCAGUCUGCAUGGAGCCAACCUUGAAAUACCACCCUUUAAUGUUUGAUGUUCUAACUCGGCCCCAUAAUCUGGGGUGAGGACAGUGUCUGGUGGGUAGUUUGACUGGGGCGGUCUCCUCCCAAAGAGUAACGGAGGAGCACGAAGGUUAGCUAAUCACGGUCGGACAUCGUGAGGUUAGUGCAAAGGCAUAAGCUAGCUUGACUGCGAGAGUGACGGCUCGAGCAGGUACGAAAGUAGGUCUUAGUGAUCCGGUGGUUCUGAAUGGAAGGGCCAUCGCUCAACGGAUAAAAGGUACUCCGGGGAUAACAGGCUGAUACCGCCCAAGAGUUCAUAUCGACGGCGGUGUUUGGCACCUCGAUGUCGGCUCAUCACAUCCUGGGGCUGAAGUAGGUCCCAAGGGUAUGGCUGUUCGCCAUUUAAAGUGGUACGCGAGCUGGGUUUAGAACGUCGUGAGACAGUUCGGUCCCUAUCUGCCGUGGGCGUUGGAAGAUUGAGAGGGGCUGCUCCUAGUACGAGAGGACCGGAGUGGACGAAUCACUGGUGUUCGGGUUGUCAUGCCAAUGGCAUUGCCCGGUAGCUAAAUUCGGAAGAGAUAACCGCUGAAAGCAUCUAAGCGGGAAACUUGCCUCGAGAUGAGUCUUCCCUGGGGCUUUAAGCCCCCUGAAGGAACGUUAAAGACUAUGACGUUGAUAGGCUGGGUGUGUAAGUGCAGCGAUGCAUUGAGCUAACCAGUACUAAUGAUCCGUGAGGCUUAACCUU
rnacentral:rRNA from 1 species